UGAGCGUGCGUGCGCGCGCAGGUUGGGAAAUGAUGGUCUAAGAAGGGAAACAGAGCCUCUGCGUGUGGGCCCAAGAGGAAGAAUGGAAUGGGGAAGGGUUAUGAGUCCCCGGGGCUGAGAAAAUUGGAAUCCACAAACAAACAAACAAUCAGACUCUGGACAGAGGAGACCCACAACCUCAGACCUGGCUCUGUCUGCCCCAGGCAUUAUGCUAUCUUGUAUUUCAAAGAUGAAGACUCAAACCAGAGAAGUUAUGACCUGCUCAGGAUUAGAUGACCUCCUCUGACUUAUUUCUUUUCCCCACAUCAAUGCUGUCAGCUGGAUUUUGGCUAAUCUUGUCGGGAUCAGUGGAACUUGGCUCCAGCCAUAAGUUGAGCUCACAUCUCUCAUUCCUCCGCGACUGGUGGGCUGCCCAAGACAUCAUCUUUACAAGGUGGUAGCAGAAGCCCAAGAGAGCAGACCCAGCACUGAAAUGGCAUCGCUAUUUCCAGAGCACAGUGGAUCCCGUUGGUGAUUGUUUUUCGAGGAAACUGAGCAGAUGGAGGGGGAAGGCCAUUGAUAUCUGCGUGACGGACUUGGAAAGGGUCCAGAAAAAGCCAGAGAAUCCCGUGGUGAAGGUUUUCACUUCCAGCGCCCCUCACCUUUGGAUGGGUGAUGCUCCUAGCCUUCAUGUACCAGUCACCAUAUUUACUGCAGAAAUUCUCAGUCUCAUCCAUCACUAUGUGUUUGAUCUUUGGGAACUCCCCUCGCAUGAAGGUUUUCCGGGUCACAGCUUGGCAGGUGGUUUGCUGGCUGUAAGGGUGAAGGAGAAAAUAGGGCUUCAGGCAUAUAAACAAAGGAAAUAACAUGCAUUUAUUACUCUCUAGAUUAGCAUUAGAGACUGGUUCUCAUCUGGAGACUGAUUCAAUAACUACAAAAAAUGCUCUACUUACAAGUUACCUGAUAGACAGAAUACAUAAUUGCAAACCCUACUCUUUGGGGUUAUCGAGUUAAAUCUGCAUGCGAAACUUUUGAAAUGAACCCAGGUAGGAGAUUUUAUUAUUUCUACCAUAGUCCAUUUCUGCUGCUUGACAAUCCCUGAAGGUAAAUUCCUUACAUCUAAAGGAAAUCUCAAAAGGAAUUUACACUUGUUACUACUAUUUCUUUACUUUCUGUCUUUUUUAGAGCUGGAGAACAGUCACCUAGAGGCAUAUCAUAAUUUUCGUAUGCAAGAGAGGUAUGGGCUCAUACAAGUUCCUGUAAAGAAAAUCCUAUUUCCCCACUUACUUGUAGUACAAAAGCAGAAGCCUCUUUAGAUUUUGGUAAGGAAAACAUGAAGAGGUAGCUGAGUUCCAUGACAUGUCAAGUAGGGUACCAAGUCUGCAGGGCUUUGCCUCUAUGGAGCUACCAAUCCUACUUACUUAGCUCAAUUUUCCUUUAUAGUAUGUUUUAGCAUACGUGUGUGUGUGUGUGUGUGUGUGUGUGUACUUUUUUCUUUAAACAAACUGUGUUGUUUCUUGCCACCUCUAAUUUGGAUUCAAGUCAUAUCACCCAUCCCUGCAGAUGUGGGACUGCAUGUGCAGUCCCUGGGGCUUUACUCCCUAUGUCCUGAAUCAUAACUAUUCACGUUCCUCUCUUCCGGGUUGGACUCUGUAGACUUCUUGAAGAAAAACAUUGAUUCUUAGUCAUCUCCAUAACCCACUCACAUUAAGUUCAUAGAUGUUUGUUGAAUUGAAUUUGCCUUUUGACUGGGGAUAUUUAAAAACUUAUACCUGUAAAGCAUGAUAAAGAAUGUAGCCUUUAACACAGUUUACAAGAUCCUUCAUAGUCUGGCAUCUGCCUCCUUUGCAACUUCAUCAUCUGUCGCAUACCCACAGUCCCUCAUGGCUCCAGGCAGACCUACCAUUCUGAUUCUCUAAUCUCCAUGCCUUUGCACUUGCUGUGCCCUUUGCCUAAAAAGCCCCCAUUUUAUUCACUUCUUCUACUCACUUCUUAAGAAGGAAGUCAAGAUCUCCUUCACUGGGGAGUAUUUGCUGACCAAUCUCCAGCCCAAGUUAAGCAUAUCUUUAGUAUCAUACCAGUUACACAACACUCCCAUUGCUUAUUUUUCUCUUUGUCUCUCUUAUUGGGCUUUACGGCAAGGUCUGCAAUAUGUUUUUCUCCUCUAACACUAAAUGUACACAGUACCUAGCAUAUAAAUAGUGCUCAAAAAGAUUAGUUGAAUAAAUAAGCAAGUCAAAAUUAAAAGCCCUCAUUUUCUGGAUUGACUAACAACCAAUUUCUUUUACAAAAUCGAAAGCUAAAGAUUUAAAUCAGAAGCAAAUGUGCAUGUUUUCUAAAAUUAUUGACUCAGAACAAGUCAAACAAGUAAAAAUAUUUUAUAAAUGAAAUAAAUGGUAUUUAAAUUCAAGUUCCCAUUAGGUGUAAUGUCUAAUUGACUGAAAUACCCUAUGACUUUAAAGCACUAAAUAUCAAGAAAAAGUAUAUGUGAAACAAGAUAGGUUCGUUUCAACCUUUCUUAAAUUUAAGGCCAUAGAUUGUGGGGGGAAAAUGUUUCUAGUUAUAUAAACUUGAAGUUAUGCAUACGUAGCUAAUUUCUAAUGAGAUGUUUAAGCCUGAACAUUGCAAAGUGCCGUUUUCUAGCUCAACUACUUGAUCACUUGCAAACGUGUAUACAGUUUGGGCUCUUGUCCAUAUGCAGCAAAGGCAUUGCAAAAUCUUAAACUAAAGACACAAAUUACUUGUGUGAUACUGUUGAAAGACUGAUUAAAUGUGUUUAUUGUGUUUAGUUAGUGAAACUCUUACGUCACAAAAUCCUUUAAGGCGUCACUUUCACAAACGUAGAGGAUCUCUUUGGGCUUGCAGUGGAACAAGUCCUUAAUUUUCUCCAUGAUCUUUAUGGCCAGGGCAGUCUUCCUGCUUCCUGGAAAGCAGUGGAGGAACAAUUCUCGUGUCUCCUGAAGGCUCUCUGAAAGCAGCUCGCACUGCUCUGCUACAAGCAAGUUGAAAUAUUCACAGCCCAGCUGGUCACUCAGAAGAGAUCGAGAGCAGAGCGAGACGACGAUAAGGGCCUGCAACAAAUUUUCCAUUUCAUCCUCAUCAGCAAGCCUGUAGGCUCGGGGAUAGUGCAUGGGGAUUUCACCGGGUCUACACCGUGUGCUGGGCAGGUGUAUCAGCCUUGGGAUGACACACAGUUUCCCUGUGUAACCACCAACAGUUCCCAGUUUCUGCUUUAACUGACGAGCAGUGUUCCGGGCGUAUACAAGCCCCCCAAUCCACGUGGGGUCUGUUAAGAUUGUAUAGAGUACAAGGGGGCUGUUUACUGCUAUUAGGAGAGCAUCACACAGGACAUUCUGCUCCUUCCUGAAGCCAACAUCACUAGCCCAGCUUUUGGAAAAUAUCACAAACCCCUGAGAACAAGGAUAUAUCUGUGUCUUCAUUAAU